UACGGGAGGCAGCAGUGGGGAAUCUUGCGCAAUGGGCGAAAGCCUGACGCAGCCAUGCCGCGUGAAUGAUGAAGGUCUUAGGAUUGUAAAAUUCUUUCACCGGGGACGAUAAUGACGGUACCCGGAGAAGAAGCCCCGGCUAACUUCGUGCCAGCAGCCGCGGUAAUACGAAGGGGCUAGCGUUGCUCGGAAUUACUGGGCGUAAAGGGAGCGUAGGCGGACAUUUAAGUCAGGGGUGAAAUCCCGGGGCUCAAACCUCGGAAUUGCCUUUUGAUACUGGGUGUCUUGAGUAUGAGAGAGGUGUGUGGAACUCCGAGUGUAGAGGUGAAAUUCGUAGAUAUUCGGAAGAACACCAGUGGCGAAGGCGACACACUGGCUCAUUACUGACGCUGAGGCUCGAAAGCGUGGGGAGCAAACAGGGAUUAGAUACC
rnacentral:rRNA from 1 species